GACGAACGCUGGCGGCGUGCUUAACACAUGCAAGUCGAACGGAAAGACCCUGCUUUUUUGGGGUGCUCGAGUGGCGAACGGGUGAGUAACACGUGAGUAACCUGCCCUUGACUUUGGGAUAACUUCAGGAAACUGGGGCUAAUACCGGAUAGGAGCUCCUGCUGCAUGGUGGGGGUUGGAAAGUUUCGGCGGUUGGGGCUGGACUCGCGGCUUAUCAGCUUGUUGGUGGGGUAGUGGCUUACCCAGGCAUUGGCGGGUAGCCGGCCUGGGAGGGUGACCGGCCACAUUGGGACUGAGAUACGGACCAGACUCCUACGGGAGGCAGCAGUGGGGAAUAUGGCACAAUGGGCGGAAGCCUGAGGCAGAAACGCCGCGUGCGGGAUGACGGCCUUCGGGUGGUAAACCGCUGUCGCCUGUGACGAAGCGUGAGUGACGGUAAUGGGUAAAGAAGCACCGGCUAACUACGUG
rnacentral:rRNA from 1 species